rnacentral:ncRNA from 1 species
GCAGAGUAGUCAAUGAGGCGUUAAGUGUCUGAUGAACGGGGAGUUGUCAUCAGGACGAAAAGUAUGUAGUCUUGCGGUUUUAUUGGCGCAUCCCGCUGC